GUGUCGAUUACACUGAGGGUCCACCCGUUCCCAUCCCGAACACGGUAGUUAAGCUCAUCUGUGCCGAAAAUACUCGGAGGGCAGCCUCCCGGAAAAAUAGGUGAUGCCG
rnacentral:rRNA from 1 species